rnacentral:rRNA from 1 species
AUGGCGGAGGAACCAUCCGCCAAGUGUCAUCAUGCCGAGACGUCGAACAAGAGGAGCAACCUCGUCGACAUUAAAGUCCCCGGCGAGAAGUGCAACUACACCAGAACGCUCAAAGGGGUUGAGCUCCACGGCAAGGAGAUGCUGGAGAUUGUCUGCACCAGCGAACCAGACAAGGCCGACGAGGUGAUCUCCAGGCUCUGGAGGAAGCUUGGCGGCAGGUUUCGUAGGAUCAUCGGCGUUGGUGUGCACUACACCAACGAAGAUGAACCUCCCCAGAUGGCGGCAGUCCUGCAGUUGUGCGUCGACGAAGUCUGCUUGGUGUACCACAUCGCCACGGCCACAAAAUGGUGA